UACGUAGGUGGCAAGCGUUGUCCGGAUUUACUGGGCGUAAAGGGAGCGUAGGCGGUUCGGUAUGUCGAAUGUGAAAGCCCACAACUCAACUGUGGAAAUGCAUUCGAAACUGCCGGGCUAGAGUACUGGAGAGGAGAGCGGAAUUCUUGGUGUAGCGGUGAAAUGCGUAGAGAUCGGGAGGAACACCAGUGGCGAAGGCGGGUAACUGGACUGCAACUGACGCUGAGGCGCGAAAGUGUGGGGAGCAAACAGGAUUAGAUACCCUGGUA
rnacentral:rRNA from 1 species